UUAAAUUGAAGAGUUUGAUCAUGGCUCAGAUUGAACGCUGGCGGCAGGCCUAACACAUGCAAGUCGAAAGGUAACAGGAAGAAGUUUGCUUCUUUG
rnacentral:rRNA from 1 species